CAGGGAGCGACGUGUGUUCGAGUGGCUGAUUCAACGCCUGCAGGUCACGGAGGAAGAAGGAACCUUGCUGGGAAAUCUACUCGUGAAGCUUGGCUACAUCUACCCAUUUACAAGAGCCCAAGAACCUGUCCCUGAAGCCGGACAGCAGUCUGUACAGGUUCCAGACUCCGUACUUCUGGCCCAGUCAGGAAUGGCCCGCCGAGGACACAGACUACG